UUCCAUGAGGUUGAUGUUUUAUAAGAACCGCUAUCUUCCAUGGUGUGACAUAUUCAGCUUUCAUAGAGCUUUUGUUUGAUACGUUUUUCUCUCCUCAUUCUCAAGCCUUCAUCUUCUUCAGGUGCCAAAAACUGUCUUCAUCUUCCCUCUCCUGGCUCUCCAUAACUCCAUUAUUCUUCGAUUCUAAUGCUUUUUCACUAUCUAAUCGACCAGUUUCUUUCCUCUGGUGGCCCUUUAAUUAUAUUCUUACUAUACGGUGUAACGAAGGUGAGAAGCUUUAAUUGGCGAGGCUGACUUGGGAAGAAAGAAAAGGAUCAGUAUAUAUAUAUAUAUAUGGAGGUGAAUUAUUCAUGCUUAAUUGUUAACUCAUGUGGAUGAGAUUUAUACAACAUCAUGUACUAAUAAUCUGUGUGCAUAUCACCCCACUCCCAUCUCAUUUCUAAAGAAUAUAGUAUAUAUACACGUACACUAGCUCAUUCAAUAUAUUUCUAAUCAGCAUCAUAGAUAUAUAUGUGUUACAUUAAGCGAAGACUACCCCCCCCCCCCCCCCCCCCCCCAAUAUAUCCUUUGGCAAAUAAGACCUAAGAUCUAAGAUCGAUUGAUAUUUUGAAGAAAUUAAUAUAUAGACGACGGCAUAAAAGUAAAACAUGAAUUUAAUUUCAGAGAUCAAGCAAUUUUCUGAAAAACUCAUCACUGCCACUUGAUUAUGAUCUGUUCCAAGAAAUGAAAAGAUUUUAUCUAUCUAUCUUGAAGUUUUAGUAUUAUUUUCUCAGUUUUAGGGCUAUUAUUUCCCAGGAUUAGGGCUUGGACUAUUUUCUCAGUUUUAGUAUUAUUUCAAACUUGACUAAUUAUGUGUUAAAAUGAAUUAGUCUCACAUCAUAACUAAAAGUUGUAGAGGAUAUAUAUAAAGAAGAAGAAAAUUUAAGUGAAAUCAAUUUUGUUUAGAUAGAAACUCCUUAGUUAAUAUAUGGUUGAGAGAUAAACAUGUUUCUUUAGUAUGUGCAUUGGUUCAAUUUCUAUAUCUAGUAUAAAAAAAUAUUUGUUAAAAGAAUUUAAUAUCUUAAAUAAAUUUUAAUACUUCAAAAUAUUAGUCUCUGAUUUUCAGGUAGAGGAUACUCCAGGUUUGUAAAAAGAAAUUCCUUAAUGUAAUUUAAUUAAUUAUAAAUAUAAUAUCAUAUUUAAACCAAGAAUAGAGUAGGAAAAAGAAAAGGAAUAGAAAUAUGCUUGUUUUGAUACACGAAAGGUCCACCACAAUAUGCCAUAUCAUGAUAUCAAUAUAUAUGUAUGGUCUCAUCCAAAUACAUGAUGGUGUUGUUGUUCAUAAUGGACAAGGUAAUCUUGAUCAAGAGUGGAAAUGCAUGUCUUGAGGGUUUUAUUCGUGGUUGUGAAUGUAUGGUGAUGAGUGAUGAGAUAUCUCAUGUUGACAGAAGAGAGAGAGCACAACCCGGGAAUGGUUAAAGGAGUCUUUGCCUUUGUUGGGAGUGUGCUCUCUCUUCCUCUGUCAUCAUCACAUUCACAUGCCUUUUCUUUCCAGCCAAAGUAGACGUGUACAUACAGCAGCAUUGUCUUAUUACCAUUCAAGAAUGAUGCCAAGGGCCCAUAUUAUUAGCAGGGCUCUGAUUGCAAUUUCUGAAAUGAAGCAUUACUCUACUACAGCACGAUUGCUAAAACAGUAAAACCUCAAGACUUUGUACAAACCCGAUCAUCCUUUAUCCUACUUGGUUAGUAGCAGCAAUGUACAAACAUCUAUGCCAAAUUUCUACUUUCCUCAUUUUGUACACUUCAAAAAUCGCAAACACCAUAACAUGAAAAAACACGGUUCGUGUCAUUUAGAACUAUGACCAAAACAAAAGAAUAAGCUUCCUCUGUUGUGCGUUGAAGUUGAACAUGAAAUUCGGUGGAUUAGCUCUGUGAAUGAACGACCAAUAUGCAUAAUGCAUGAGUUCCUAGUUUUUAAGACCAUAGAAUGGUAGAGUAGCAUUAGAAGUGAUCACCAGAAACAAUUAAAAGAAUGAAAGGAAUAAGUUCAGUUGAUUAGUGAAUUUUGAUCUCGCACAUAGACUGGCUGCUGGUACCGAACUCUUCUUCAUCCGCCUCUGAAACAAUGUCCUCAAUAGUGAGAAGCAGAGGCAGGUCAGAAGAGAAGGUGAGUGUUGGCUUCACUUUCAGCACAACAAGUGGUGCAGCCACAUUGUUGAGAAUCUGCAGCACUCUUCUCAUGGAGGGUCUCUCAGCACUAUCAGGAUUAGCAACACAGCUCAACCUCAUCUCCUCCUCCUCAAACUCCCCAUUCAACCUCUUAUCAGCUGCCUCAAUCACUUUCCCUUCAGAGUGAAGCCCAUGUUUGGAUUUGGUGAAGGUCGGUGGUUCGAGGGGUUUUGAUUUAGAAGAACUAGUACGUGAAUAGCUCAAGAAAACGUUGAGCAAUGUGUGUUCGGUGUUGUAGUCGAUCCAUGCAGUGAUGGUGUUGCCGCUCUUGAGGUCGAGGCGGGCAUCGAACUCGACGGCGACGAAGGAGAGGGAGAGGAAGAGGAAGAAGGCGAGGCCGUCGCCGGAGGAGCCUCCAAGUUCAAUCAAUCGAUGAAAAAGCAAGUUAUUUUGUAUUUUAAUGGUUUCAGGUCAUGGAUGUUCCACUGCCACCGAUUUGAUUAAUAAUGAACCCUCCCCUGGAAACACGAGAAAGUAUGUUCCUGUCUGUACUGUGAGUGAAUUAUGACAUUCUUUUUCUGUAUCCCAUUAAACAGCAGCAAGAUAUGUGUAAUUCUGGUGGCAACUGGUAGCUUUAAUCCACCCACUUCAUGCAUUUACGGAUGUUUUUGGUCAGUUGCGUUUAUAGCUCAGAUUCUUUUUUCUUUUUUCUUUUUUCAUUUCCUUAAGUUUACUUUGUAGAGAAUUGUUAUUCUACUGCCCUGAGACAUCUAUACUGCUUUGGCGCUUAUAAAACUCAAA